AUGGGGGGGGGGGGGGUUGGGAGGGGCUUAGCAGCAGAUCUGGGCCAGGCCCCAGGCCUGGGGACUCCCAACCUCGUACUCUUCCAAGCUGCCCUCCCAGGACUUGGGCGCCAAGGGAGUCUUGAGGUUGAAGAGUCCCGGGGGGGCGAGCCGGUGAGGACCCCAAGGCGGAGGGUUCUGGAGCACACAGGGGUUCGCAGAGGGGGGUUGUGGCUGUGGUCCCAGCAGGCAAGGGGAAGGGAUCCAGGUCAAGACCCCCCGCCCCGGGGUCUCCCCCAUCCUGCCGACCUUCAUUCCGUCCUGGGCCAGGCCCGCCCGCUCCCCGACGGCGCCCUGGGGCUGGCCACCCGCCGAGGCUCUGGCCGCCCCCACCCCCUCCCCAGCUCCCCGUGCACCCGGCGGGCCGCUCCCGUGGGCCCGACCCCCGCCCCGCCACCCCGUCCCCAGGGACACAACCACCUACUCACCGCUCCGGCCGGGACGCUGGGCCCAACUCCCGGGUCCCUGGGAGCGGAGCGGCCGGGACUCCCGCAGAGUUCCCGGGCCCGCCUGGGUGAGUCAGGGCGGGGGGCGGGACAGGAGCCCGGGAGCCGCCCCGCCCCGCCCGCCCCGUGGCCGGCCCGGCCCCGCCUCCCUGGGCCCUCCCGGGUCGCCCCCCACUCCGGGCGCGCGGGGUUGCUGGAGGAGGACAAUCCCAGGCCGGCCCCACCCCCCCAGGUGGGUGAGGGGCGGGCCGCGGGGGCAGGGGUCGUAGAACUUGGGGCCGGGCUGCAGUCGGGGGAACUGAGGGGCUGGGAGGCACUGCGCUCCCCAAACCAGCCUGUGGGCUUCCCUCCAGGACCCAGGCUGUGUAGACCCCAUCAGGAACAGGUGAAGGGCCUGUCCCCCUCCCCCACCCCAAGGUGCGGCCACCUGGCCUUCAGGCACAAGCAAGGGACCAGUGAACAGAGUCCCGGGAAGGAAGGCAGCUUCCCUUUCUCUGCUCUGACCACCAGCCCAGGGAAGCUGAGCAGAAGCAGGGGUGCUUAUGUGUCUGACCCUGCCCAGACCUUGAGACCUGCUCUGGCCUUCUGGGGGAGGGAUGGGAGGGAUGGGAGCAAGCUGCUCCCAGGUCUACCGGGUGGGAGGGGAUCCGGGGCUGGAGUCCAGUCUGGGAGGCCAGCUUCUAGAAAGGAUGACUGCCUCCCCACCCCUCCCCCUCGUUCCUCCCCAGCCACGGAGGCCUGA
rnacentral:lncRNA from 12 species